rnacentral:rRNA from 1 species
AUUAACGCUAGCGGCAGGCAUAAUACAUGCAAGUUGAACGGCAGCACAGGUAGCAAUACUGGGUGGCGAGUGGCGCACGGGUGCGUAACACGUAUGCAACCUACCCUAUACAGGCGAAUAACCUUUAGAAAUGAGGGCUAAUACGCCGUAGUAUUACAGAUGGGCAUCUAUUUGUAAUUAAAGAUUUAUCGGUAUAGGAUGGGCAUGCGUCCCAUUAGUUAGUUGGUAGGGUAACGGCUUACCAAGACGAUGAUGGGUAGGGG